rnacentral:rRNA from 1 species
CGCGUAGGUGGUAGUGCAAGUCUGAUGUGGAAUCUUAGGGCUUAACCCUAAAUUGCAUUGGAAACUGUAUUACUUGAGUCAGUGAGGGGAGGGUAGAAUUCCUGGUGUAGCGGUGAAAUGCGUAGAUAUCAGGAGGAAGGCCGGUGGCGAAGGCGGCCCUCUGGCGCUGAACUGACACUGAGGCGCGAAAGCGUGGGUAGCAAACAGGAUUAGAUACCCUGGUAGUCCACGCCCUAAACGGUGGGUACUAGGUGUAGGGCUCGUAAGGGUUCUGUGCCGAAGCGAAAGCAUUAAGUACCCCGCCUGGGGAGUACGGCCGCAAGGUUGAA